UGUCAGUUCUUUUCGCCACUUGCUAAAGUCAAAGAAGACACGCCAGAUAGUAAAAUUGAGAUGAUGGGUGCCCAGGAUCUCGGGUCAAAAGAAGCAUCCUUCAUUAAUAUGACAGCUGGUGCUGGUGAAGAUGCUAGCCAUCGUGUGGUACCAGAUGAGAGAAAGCCACUUCUUCCCACCUAAUUUUACUAUCAUGGCAAGUUUCUGACCCCACUUUUAGGAAGAUCAUCUUUUAAAUGAAUAAAUUUACACGAUCUUUGUAAUUUGUAAAGUGAUUAUCCAUGGUGAUAUGCUAGGUUUAAAUGCUUUUUUUUUUUUGUUGAUCUU